UACCUGAAACAAAAAACGGCAACAGCUGAUGUUACUGCAGAAAGACACCUAAAAGUUUCCUGGUUCUUAAGAAUACCUAUAGAUUUUGUUAGUAAAGUUAAUAUUUGGACACAUUAAAUCCUAAAAGCUAAAGAAUGGUUAUUUAUCAUCCUGAUAGGGCCUAGAUGAAAUGUUCUUUUCCCUCACAAUCCACGAGCCAGUUUAAUACAUACAGGAUUGUAAAUACUCCUCUGUUAAACAGUGCUAAUCAUUAGAGAAGGAACAAAUAAUAUUGUAAUACUAAUAAAACUGUUAACUUGGCAGUGAUUUGAUCACAGUUUGAUAAGGCCAACAAACAUAUGUGAAACAGUUAACUUUUUUUAAGUUCUGUGAUUUAAAUCUUUCUCCAGUUCAGACUGAGUAUCCUUCCUUUAUUGUAAUUUCAGUUGGUAAAUUUAGGUUCUACAUCUAUUUCUAUAGCUCACAUUGGGCUGAUUAAAAUUAUUGCUAGCUGAUCUGAAUCAAUCAGUAUUUUCAGACUCCAGUAAGCAAAUCACCUAAAUGAAGUCUAAGACUUUCAGUUAAGCAAGAUUAAAAGGACAGGACAAAGCUGAUAUAAUGAUCAGCAUUAAAAUGCCAGGGAUAAAUCAGGAAAAAUCAAAAUUAACAUCACCAGUGAAGGGCACGGAUAUCAUGUGCCUCCUGAUGUAACACCCUGAGACAGAUACAACAUUACCUGCCACUCAUUCUGGAUGUGAAUGAGAAUACAUAGCCUGAAUCUAAUCAAGAAAUAAUAAUAAAAUAAACUUUAAAGGUAGAGGGGCAAAAUUUAUUUUCAAAAAUACCUAUGCCAUAAAAAAACAAAGACUAUUAAAUUAUUCUGGCUUAAAGGAAGCUAAAGAGACAUGACAACUAAACGUACUACCUGACAGACUGGACUCUGUACUGAGGAAGGGAAAUGUUAUGAGGUCAUUACUGAGUCAAACUGACACAAUUAGAAUAUGUGUCACGUUAAAUUUAAUAAAGCAUAUGACUGUACUGUGGUGGUACAAACAAAUGUCCUGAUUCUUAGGAAACAUACCAUAAAGUAUUUAGGGGCAUUAGGCUAUGACGCAUGCACUCUACCUUCCAAUGGAUGGUGGGGGGGUGGAGUGUGUGUGCGUGUGCAUGUGAGUGUUUAGAAAGUGCAAGAGUACAAAAAAAGAGAGAGAGAAGCAAAGGGGUAAAAUGGUGACUACGGAUGAAUCCGUGUGGAGAAUAUACAGGGUUUUAUUUCUGCUAUUCUUAUCCUUGCCACUUCUCUGUAAGUUUGAAAUUGUUUCAAAAUAAAGAGUUAAAAACAUUGCCAGGGAUGAGUAGGCAGCUGUCACUCUUAAAAAAAGGAAUAAGAUACUCUCUCUGGGCUCCUACCCACAGGACAAUGCUGCAGAUGCUGCAGGACCCCAGGACACUCUGCUAAUAUUUCAAAGAAGAGUGAGACAGGGAUAAAUGAUCUAAGGUUUUGCUGUGGUCAUAAACCAAUUCUAACCUUCAGGGUGGUAUCCACGUAUGGGUCUUCCUCACGAGCUGCCGCCGCACUGCACCGCACUGUGAAACACUGCAAGUUGUUGCUAAGGAAGAGGAGAGACACCACUGAGCAAAGCAGAGGCCAAUAACCAACAUGCCCGUACUUUGGAAGAUAUCACAGAGGCGAACAGAGCAACAGUGAGGCUUCUCCACAGUUCACAGUUAAAGGACAUCACUAUGCACAACACGUUGGAAAUGGAGACUAGCUACCUCCAGGAUGUUCACUUAGGAAACACACAACAGCAUUUCUCCUUACACCAGACAACGGGACGAGAAGGCAGCAACCACAAUAUGGGUGAGUAGCAGAAUCUCCAGGUGAGUUCUAUGCUGUCAGAAUAUACUUCCUGUGGCUACUGAUACUACCACUCAGUUGAAAAAAUAAUUAAAAAUCACUGUCCUAUGCAAUUAAUUAGUGGAUGCUCCCGCAAAACUAGAUGUAGCCUUUGUUUAUAGUCUUCCCUCUAUCUAUAAUGCCUUUCUCUUCUAAUCUACAUCUGUCAAAUUCCAACUAGCUUCUCUCACUUCAAACACAAAAAACUUUCGGUAUGACUCAGCCAGAAGUAAUUUCCCUCCUUCCAGUACCUACACCACUUUCACAAAGGCUUAAGAUAUUUUUCACAAAUCCCCUAGUAUUUGUGCCCCAUGUAUGUGUCUCUGGCCUUCUCUUAUGCUAUUGCUGUACCUUAUUCACAGCAAAUGCUGUACCUUAUUCCCAGUUGCUUAGCCAGAGGGCCCAAUGCAGUGGCUUGCACAUAAUCUAAGCUCAAAAAACAGGAAAUAGAACCAAAAGCACUAGCUACUGCUGAGAUUAAAAGAAAUGAGAUAAAAAUCCUGCUCAGGAAUCCAGCUCAGGAACUCAGGAACAUGCCAGCAUAUUAGGGUAAGGCAACUGAAAAGGCAUCUGCUACCAAUUAGCCAAAUGUCCUUGUCCAUCCCAACCUCUGGAUUAUUUCCCCAUUUGUACUAAUCAGAGGGUGGAAUCAGGUAGCCUUUCUAGCUCCUUCACAGUUCUAAGCCAUUAUGAGAUAACUCAACUCAUACAGAAAGAAUAUGACAGCAGAGAAAAAAAAUUAGGAAAUCUAAAAAGAAAUCUAGAGAUGUCCUGACUGGCUCCACUGACUUUUCACCGAAAUUCUCUAUGAAAAUAUUUCCUCAGAAAGAACUGUAUACUUCCUUACAAAGACCCCUAGCCAAACUAAGAAAAUAAAACAAAGGCAAAACCAGAAUCUAAAUAUUUGGCAUUGAAAAUGUAGAUAUGGGCCAUCAAAAGACAGAGACACAUCAUUAAUUUAUAGUACUAUAUAUAAUUUCACACAAUUCCCAUUUAAAGAUUUAGGAAGCAUGUCAGGAAUUUACAGAAGAGUAAGUGACUCGAAGGCUAGCAAGUAACACUGUAACAUACCUUGUAA